rnacentral:rRNA from 1 species
UUCGCCUGUUUUAUCAAAAACAUGUCUAUAUGAAUAAAAUAUAUAGUCUAACCUGCCCACUGAAAUGAAUUUUAAAGGGCCGCGGUAAUUUGACCGUGCAAAGGUAGCAUAAUGAGUAGUCUUUUAAUUGAAGGCUGGAAUGAAUGGUUGGAUAAAAGGUAAGCUGUCUUGGUAAUAAGAUUUGAAUUUAACUUUUAAGUGAUAAGGCUUAAAUAUUUUGGGGGGACGAUAAGACCCUAUAAAACUUUAUAAAUAAAAUUUAAUUUCUGAUUUAAGUUUAAAAGUAAGUUAGAUUUAUUUUAUUUCAUUGGGGCGAUGAAGAUAAAAUUUGUAACUGUCUUAGAAAGUAAAUAGAUUUUUCUAGAAUUUGUUGAUCCUUUUUUAAAGAUUAUGAGAUUAAGUUACUUUAGGGAUAACAGCGUUAUUUUUUUUGAGAGUACAUAUCGAUAAAAUUAGUUGCGACCUCGAUGUUGAAUUAAGAGUUCUUUUAGGUGCAGGAGUUUAAAAGGAAAGUCUGUUCGACUUUUAAUAUCUUACAUGAUUUGAGUUCAAACCGGUGAGAGCCAGGUUGGGUUUCUAUCUAAA